rnacentral:tRNA from 1 species
GGGCCCAUGGUCUAGUGGCUAUGACAGUACCCUUACAAGGUAUUGAUCCCCGGUUCGAGUCCGGGUGGGCCCACCA